GGUGCGGCCAGCAGGGCCAGGGCAGUGACUGUCACCCUGUACUGGGCACUGGUGAGACCACACAUCACAUCCAGCAUCCAGUCUGGGGCCCCUCAGGACAGGCAGGACACUGAGGGGCUGGAGCAGGUCCAGAGAUGGACAAUGGAGCUGGGGAAGGAGCACAGCCCUGAGGAGGAGCAGCUGAGGGAGCAGGGGGAGCUCAGCCUGAAGAAAAGGUGCCUGGGGAACUCCUUGCCUGCUACAAAGCACCUGGAAGGCGGCUGUAGAGUUCUUCAGGACUCCUCAGUAAGACAAGACAGCCCAGCAGGAAUCAGCACAAUCCUGUCCAUGCUGUGAAGUUUUCCCUUAUAUUUUAUAAAAUUACCGCUACUACCCUGCACCUCAGAGCACAGCACAUAAAAAUGCUUCCCAAUAACAAUACUUCCUUUCAAAUUCCUGAAAGACCUUAACCACCAGAGAGAAAUUCCCUAUGGAGCUGGAAUUGAAUUUUGCUUAGAGAAAGCAAUUCAAGGAGGCAAAUGAUUAAAGCUCAUCUCCAUUUGUGCCACUGUGAGCUGUCCUCCAAGUCACAGACUGAACACGGUCACUGCAUGUGACCCUUCUGCAAAAAAAAGAUCCCUGAGGAAAACACAGAUGAUGUCAAUCCACGAGCUCAUUAAACAGCAGUCAAUUAGAACUCGAGUCAGCUAGAACCCAAACCUUAAAACAUCACUAUCUUCACUCCUUAAAGAAACCAGCCAUGAAAUGAAAAAUGAACUAACUAUCAGUGGAACAUGCUUUUCUUUCAAGACCAGAGCACAAUAAUUUGGUAAAAAACCCAUCUGCCGAAUGGAAUCCAGUAGCAAACAGUUCAGAGGUUCACACCAGGAGUCCUAAGUGAAUUCAGAAAGCUCUCAGCACCCAAAGGCCUCCAUGACAACCCAUCCACCUCCUCCAGCAAAACCACAAGGCUGAGGUUUCACAUUCUGGGGCGACUGCGCGGCAUUUUUGUGUGGGGUUAUUUUUCAAUUGGAUCAGUUCCCCACACAGCUGCAGGCUCAGCUGUGCCAGCACAAAGAAAGCAACCCGCAGACACGAGGGUGCCACCAAGGGCAUGCCCAGGCAACAAAAGGCUUGGGAACCUCCGAAACAAUCCAGCAGCUGGGAAUAGCUGCCUUGUCAAAAGAGAGAGGAGGAAGAGUCAGAUCAGAGUUAAGAAAAUUCUACUGAGGAAAUGAAAUAGUUUUCACCAGGAGGAGUCAACAUUCCCAUUUUAGGAAAUCCCAAAGCCAAAUUCUGAUCAGUCACGAUCAAUACAAGGAAAGCUGAGCAUAGAAACCACUCUGAACAUACAGGCAAAGCUGAAACCAAUUCAAUCUGCAAUCUUGGUGAUAAGUGUCUCAAUAAUAGUGUCUCACUGGAUUCAAAAUCUGCAAAAAAGGCUGAUCCCUUGUGUAGGACCUUCUCCUAAUAGCAGCAGAGUGCUGAUAACACAGCAACUCCAAUCCAUGGCCACAGAGAAAAGCCUUUAGCUAUCAACAGAAUUCAAAUUUAUUCCAAUUUGGAAAACUGCAACCUGCAGAGCAGCCUCAGAUCUUUUAAAGGCUAGCAGUGCACUGACACUCCAGUCUAAGCUCAGGUAUAAUACUGAGAAGAAAGAACCUCAUCCAGUAACUUCUGAUGUGAACUCAAAACUUUUCUUGGAGACAAGUACUUCUUUUCAAGGAAGAAAAACAAAAGCAUAUUGAUUCUGGAAUUCAGUGGCUAGGAGUCUCAGAAUACAUACUGCACUUUGAGGGAACUACAAUAUUUAAGAGCUUUCACUAAAAAAAAAAAUAAGGUUAAAUAGACUUCAGUAUCAAAAAGGAGCCUGCCCCUCCCUGAUACCCUCUGAGCACAUGCAGCAAGGACAGUAAUAGCACCAAUAAUGUGAGUUUCAGUGAUGCAACCUGCCAUGAUUUUCUCUCAAGAUCCCUCUUAUGGUGUUUAAAUCCUAAUUCUUACAAAGAAAUGACCUACAGUCUCAGUACAUUCAGAAGAAGGUAUUAGCUACAUCAAAACACUAAAAACAUACAACAAAAUGCACCCAGCUGCACAAUCCUGCACUGACAAUGUGCUUGUGAAAAAAUGAGACAAAUAUAAAGAGAAGAAACUACCAACACAAAACCCAGAUCUGUCAUCCCAGCACUGCUUCAUCCUGACCACUGAUCCCAGUUCUACAGUUUGAAGUUUGUUCUGCUCUGCACAAACUUCAUAGCAAGCAUUUUUAAACAAAGAACACUAUCACUGCUGCCUUUAUAAAAAACACUUUAUACAUUAUAUACAAAGGUGCAUGCAUUUAUUGAAGAUAUUUAAUUAAGUAACAAGCUUUUAAGGGGAAAAAAACUGUGGAGCAUUAUACAUGCUGCUAUCUUGUGAUAUUUUAUUAAUUAUAUUGAAUUUAUUAAAUACACUGACUUGUCCAUAACUUUGACUAAAUUCAGACUACACAGAUUUAUAGUUCUGAAAACCAUGCUCCUUCAAUAUUUUACACUUCCAGAACUUCAAGACUUAAAAUCUGGGUAAAAUAUACAUUAGUGACAUCAAAACAUUCUGAACUCUCUUUUCUUUUCUAAAUCAUAUAAAACAUAGCUCUAAUGUUAUUAGAAUGCAUGAUAAUUAAAGUAACAAAAUUUGUAUCAUGCAAUGAAACUUAUUUUUACUUUAUAAUGGCACACAAACAUUCUACUUCUUUCAAAUAGCAGUAAAUUAUUUAUAGAACACCUAUGACUUUCUGCAUUGAGGGUAAUAGUUUUAUUGUCUUUCGUACUAGAGUUCAAAAAACUGUAGUGAACCGGAACAUAUGUCCCUCACUUAAUAAAAAGAACCUUAAAUUUCCCUUUUUACAUCAAUUAAAAUUCCUCCAGUAUUUUCAACUACUACUAUACUUGUUUGAAAAUACAGAUACAUUUUUUAACACUCCAUAACUAACAAGCUUUUUAGUCUUCUUGAGGCUUUUUUUACAAUUGAGAUGUGACUUCAUACAGGUAUCUAAGAAAGUAUUAAGCACUUUAAUUCAGAUUUUUAAUGGCUUAAUGUUUCUUCUUACAUUGCUGUGCUAAUGCUCUUUUACAGUUCUGGAGAACUCAUAUUUCCAACCAUCAACUGGAGUUUUUAUGCUUGUUUUUAAAACCAUACACAGAGUACAAAGCAGAUACCCCAUCAGUAAAUCCCACCUCUGAUCCACAGCAACACCUGGUCCUGUCACUCUGAAGUGUUAUCAACUCAAAAGCAGAGUUAAUACAGGUCAGCCCAUAAUCCUGGGCUGGUUUUGCUGAGCAAAAUAUGUCCAGAAGGUCACACUGCACUCACACCUAACUUCAUUAGGCUAAUGAGAAAGAGUGGUGCACAUUUUUUUGCAGAGGGGGUGGUAGAAUUUUCUUAAAACAAAACAUAAGCAUGGGAUCAGACUAUUCUUCACUAAAUUUUAGAGACAGAAUACUGCCAUUUUCCUUGCAGGUCUUCCCAUGCCUCUGGAUUUGGAAACACCAGUGGUUAUAUCCCACUCAUUGGAUGGGAUUAAGGUGCAAGACAGAUGCCUCCAUCACCCAAACCCUUCUGAAUUUACAGACUGAAUUUAGAUACCAGCAAAUUCCUCUUGAGCAGCACCAAAUCUACAUGUUUCUGACUUUAGAAAUGAAGGACCCAAGAAGCCAGUGGACCCAUAGACACAAUGCUAUCAAACAGCCCACAGCCAGCCUGAGUCACCUAGCAGUGCCCCUGAGCUCAGUUUUAACUCAUCUCCCUGUUUCUGCAUCCCAGGGAAACUCUAAACCAGCAUCUCUGUGUGUUUGGAAAAAAGCAUGGGGAGGUGGGAAGUACACAUUUUCAGGGUUGGGGUGUUGUUUGUUUUCCUACACAAACAGAUCUGCAUUCAUGUUAAAAUUAAAAAGCAAUGACAGUGAAAAAAAAGACAUCCCAUGGAAAAAAAAGUAAAUAUUCUGACCUGUUCUACCCAGCUCUCACCCACACCCCACAGAGUGCCAUCAGACACUGGGCCUGCCAGCCAACUUCAUAUUCCUACCUGAACCAGGAGUGUUUUGGUUGGGUUUUUGUUUUCCAUUAAAAAAAAAUAAUGAGAAGUAAGAAUAAAGUUGUUUUUGUAAAGAUA